UGGGACUAGACGACCUUUAAAGGUCCCUUCCAACUCAAAUGAUUCUAUGAUUCUAUGAAAAAGGUCAUGUCAGGUGUGAUCAGAAACUUGAGUAAUCCUGCAAUCAGUGGUUUGAUUAGUUAUGAACAUUCAUAAGUUGGGAAACUGAAUACAUGAAAUGUUGGAGAAUGGAAAUGUAUGAAAUAAUGCAUGAAGUGAGCCCACAGCCUGGCUUAGUGAUGGAGGUGCUCACUGAGGGUCCUGGGCUCUGCGUACUGCUGUGUUUGGUUCAGCUGUGCUGCAGCAGGAGAUGGCAGAGUUCCCAAUCAGCAGCACCAGUGUGCACAGAAAUUGAUGUGCUUCCUAUUCUCCUUACCCUGGUGAAUUCCUUCAGAAGCAUGAAUGUUGCUGCUCCUGUGCUCAUUGCAGCUGGAUGGUGCACUUUCAUAUCUGUUUCUUAGUUCUGUAGGCACAUAAAUGCUUGGUCAUUCUGGCAAUUUGUCUCUUUUUCAAGAAUAUGGUUUUCCCUUUGCUGGUAAUUCCUGUUAUGAACUCGUAGUUCUUGUUGAGCAUUAUUCCUGCUGUCUGCGUGGAUGGCUGCAAGGUUCAGCUCUGAAUGUGGCUUUUAAAGGGUAUGGAAUCACUCUGCUGUCAUUCUGAAAGCUUUAUCCAACCGCUAGAUUUCUUUUAGUUCUUCAUGCUUCUUUUUCUUUUUUUGUUGUAUCAUAUGGGGCACGUUGUUUACCAUUUUCUCCACAGAUCUGUCCUGAUACUGUAAUUAUAAAGUUGUUUAGCUAUCUGUUUUAGUGAAUGUAUCUGUAUAAAACAUUGGAUGUUAUGAUUGUCUUGCUAUAAUGUUACUAGAUGUAUUUCCCAAGCUACUAAGUUUGUUUGGAGAUGAAAAUUAGAUGCAAAAUAGAAAUAUAAGCACCUCCAUUCUGUAAUCUUGCCAUAAUUUUCUCUCUCAUCAAUGUAGUAUCAGUAAUUAAUGCUCCUAGAAACGUACACUUUCUUUGUUGCUAUGGGUUUAUCCGAGAUCUCAGCUAAUCACAGAAUUAUUGUUGCUGUUAUCCCAGUUUUCUUUCAAGUCCCCAGCUGCCUGGUGUGUGAUACUCUGUCUUUUCUGCAACUGGCAAGUCAAUAACGAAGCUAAUCUGUUUUGAUUCAUAUCAUGAGGAUGCCACAGGAGUUGGAACAACUUCAGUUGUGCAAUUGCUGCGCAUUUAUGGCUUCUACUCUGGAAAAAGAAAAUAGCUGAAUGAGAGGAGAUGAGAGAGGCUCUGAGCAAUGAGGCAGGGGACUGUCCAGAGUGAGAAUCAAGUGGAGAUAGCCAAGUGAGAGAGCCGAAAGGACAUGGGAACAAAGGUGAUAAGCCAUGAGGAAUUGCUGCAGGUGCCGGAGUGCCUGACUACAGCUUUUCUGAUAACUCAUUUGCCACUGGAACUUCAUUCCCUGCAUGCUGGAACUGUUUCCUCCUGUCUCACAGUGGUCUUUGACAUCUCCUCUGGGCCAAAUUGAAAGACCUGAGCUGAUUGGAACUGCUGAAUCUGUAGGGAGGAUUUCAACAGAGCUCUGAGUACUGGGACAUGGGAGGUGUGCAAGGAGUGGGGAGGAAAAUUCUAGCCCUCCCCCUUCCCUUUGAUCAGAAGCUCUGGCCUCAAACUGCUCUGGGUGAAGACAGUAGCUGAAGCAAUUACUGAAGCAUUAGUGACUGUCCUGGAAGUUCUUGGAAGGGCAGCAGGAUGGAACUGGCAAUGCUGUGGCUGAGGGAGGCGGAGGUCAGCAGCCGAGGGCUGGAGCAGGAGACACAUCCUCGAGUUGCAGCAGCGCAGUUUGAUGCUGUGGUUGUGCCAGGGCUGCUGGGAGAAGAGCUGGACUGGCUGAAAACUGCAGUCCUCUCAAGCUGGUGGAAGAGCUAUGGAUGCUUGCUGCUAACUGCUUUUUCACCUCUUGUCCACCCCUCCACCAGCCGCUUGGGGCCACCAUUUUAGACUUCAGCUGGAGCUGCAAAGCGUUAGUGAUCUUGUUUUCCAGAGAUCGUAUUUGAAGUAGAAAGAACUGGAUUUUGCCUUCAUUUACGCCUCAAGGAGCUGCCACAGGGGGAGGGGCCAGUGUUUGCCAGCUUGCUCUGCUCCCUGCAGCCCUCACUGCGGAGCCGUGCCACAGGAAAUGCUGAGCAGGAGUCAGGCAUGAGAGCAUCGUGCUGGGUUGGUUUUGCUCUUGGAAACAGAAGGUGGAGCAAGCCACAACUGAGACAAGUGUUAAGGUCUGCAAUGAAAGCAGGAUCCAUGCCAAGCAGGAUGGAGCACUCCAAGGGGUCACAGCAGAGGGCUGCAUCUAUGAGAGCAUCUUGGAGCCACUAAGAUGGUGCUGACAUCUGAGAAGAUUUUUCUGGUGAUUUUUCACCAUGCUGUUCACUGCUGACACCACCUUCCUCACUGCAGGCUUACCAGCAGGCAAGACGAGAGCUGAAGCAGGGCUGCAGCCACAGAGCACUUCAGCAGUGCAAUUUCCCUUAAUCACCUGCACGGUGAUCACGGGAGUUUUGCCUUCCCAUUUGCAGCAGCCAGAAGCAGUGCAUCUACUGCUUGUGUGAGAUUUUACGCUGUCUCAUUUGGAUUGUAUCUCAAGGAGGAUUUAGAGGAGCUUGCAAGCUGGAGAUCUGCUGACUUCCCAAAGCUCGCAGGCAGCACUCUUCCCCUGCAUGUGACAUGUGCAUCGCCCUCAAAUUCAGAGGAUGGCUCACAGCUGCUGUGACUGCAACCAGGAUGUAUCUGGGGCUGAGAGUUGCCCAUGGGAGCCAGGAGCUGUGCUACAGCUCACCAAGUCCCUUGAUCACGGCUUGCAGGAGCCCUCAUCCAUCCAUCUGUCUGGAACGGAGUGGCAAAGCCUCCAUGGUCACAUUCACACUUUGCAGGUUGCUGGGAUUUGCUCUGCUGUCAAGGGGAGCAGUUUGCUGUUGUGCACCAUCUCUAGUCUCUUCAGGGAACUGCCAAUUCUGCAUUUCCUUACAGCAUAUUUCCAUCCAAGAGAGCUUCUCCACAGCUUCCCUGAUCUGUCAGACGCUCAUUAUUUUGUUAUUUCCAUUCUCCCGUGUGAUUGUGCUGGUGGGAAGAGACACUCAGCCAGGCUGAACCCAAGAAUGACAAUGAUGUCUGAAGCACAACUUUGAUAUGGUGCAAAACUCUAAACUGAGGACAGUCAUCCCUAGAAACACCUCCCAGCCUCGAUGCCUCAAGAGUCAGUCUUCUCCAGGUCUUCCCAGCUCUAUCAUCACUCAAAGAUGCAGGAAGAAGAUCCUGCAGGGCACUGUGGAAAGAUCUGCAUCCAGCAGUGCUGUUCGGACAGUCGUACUCGACCAUCAUUUCCCAAAUGUGUGCAUGCUGUGAGGUGUGCAGCUGCUGCUCGGGAUGUCGCCACCAAGGGGAGCAUCCCUCCUUGGGACACUGAUCUCUGCACUCCUGAUGCCGAAUUAUUCUGGGAAGGAGCAUCAGGAAAACAAAUUAGUGAGGUGUUCUUACCAGAAAAUCCAGUGGCAACAGAUACGUGCAAGCAACAGGGCCCAGAGACUUGUACUUCCCUAUUCUGACGAGUGAGCUUGAGGUUUGCCAGCACCUCUUGGCGAGCAGGAAGCCUCCAGCUGUGUUAGCUCUUUUGACAUGGCAAUUGCUCCAAAGGAGCUUCUCCAUCCUCCCUAGCUUUGCCUUAGUUGAAGGCUGAGAAGCCCCUGGCCGCCAGCCAUUCCAAUACAUCUUGCAGGUAAUCCAUAGUUUCCUGGGUCAGAGAAGACUCUCAGCAGCAAUCCUCUACUCUUAAAGUCAAUCCCCUUUGCUAGUUGGAAAAUGUCUGCAGCACAAUCUAGUGUUCUGCCUUGGGUGAAUUCAGCCAACUUUACACUCUCAAAGUCUUUAUCCGAAGCAGAAGUAAUGCAGCAAAAUGGACUCAACCAAGAAGUUGUUGACAGUACCAAGACUUGGAGGAAUUAAAGUAAAUGACCAAAGUAAUUUUUUGGCAGAGUACUCAAUUUCAAAGGACUGUGUGCUGUCCAUUCUUCCCAGGGCAUAUUCUGGGAUAGAUCUUCAAGAGUAAUCUACAGUCAUCUUGAGCCAUCCCCUACUGCCCACAGCAAAACUGUCUGACCAAAACUUCAGGUAGAAUGUACCAGCUCGACGUGCUCAAGAUAUAUCACCCAAAGGACUGACACCACCGGUAGGACCAAAAGAAUGAUGUGUUCAGCAUGCUCAGGUUGGACUUCAUGCCCACAGGCAGCUGGUUUAUCCUCAUGGGACAAGUCCUGCAUUGCCCAGGAAACACACUGUGCCAAUCCAUCGUGGAUGAGAGAACACAUCCAUGCAUGGAUCCUGAGGACUAACCCUGUUCCCUUCUCCAGGCGCCUGGGAACUUUGGCCAAACACACAUACAGACCAGCCAGGUACUGCAGGAAGCAGCAGGAUGAUAGAUUGCAGCUGCAAGCUAAGACGUACACACACAAAACCCAUUUUUUUCUCUGCAAGGUUCACCCAUUUUUGCUCCAUCUGAGGCUUGAAUCCAGGUUCUCCUGCCUGGCAGCCAGGGAUGCUGGAAGCAGCUCAAUAUUAAGCCUCAGGAAUGGGGGCUCAGGUUCUGUUCCCCAGCCUAGGGCAGUGCUGGUAAAGACCUCCCCUCACCCAGGUGCCUGGGAAGCUUUUGGCUGCUGCUGGCAUUGGCGCAGAAAGCAAGAAGACAUUUACUUCCAGGAACAGAUGCAAACACAGGGAAUUGCCAAUUGGCCAAAAUCAAAUACAACCUGACCUCUGAUGAUCUGGAGCCUUACUACUUUCAAACAACACUGCACUCAAUGUUGGCAAUAUAAUAGUUUACCUUGGAGACCCAAGGGCUAAAGGAGAAAUGAAACCAGAAGCUGCUGGGGAUGUUGCUUUCCCACUGUUUCUAUUACUGAUAACAGGCCAGCAAAACCCCGUAAGGUCCUUGAGCUCAAGGAGAGCCUGCUUGCACCUUCUUCCCAGGGUUUUGUGCCAAAUUACCCCAAAACUUAAGAGCUGGGUUUUAUCAGAACACCCAAACUUCUUUAAAUACAGAAAGUAGGGAAUGAGCUGGAAUAGCGAUGUUCUACCCCGGGAGGAAGGUCCUUUCUUUUGGGUUUCCUUUCAGUCCUGCAACCUCCCAGCUAUCCCCUGGAUCAUCAUAAAGCCUUGCUGCCCCCAGAAAAGCCCCUUUCUUUCCUUUGAAGGGGAGCUGACACCCACAGGGAACAAACCCUAAGUCAGAAAUAAUAGGAGUCCUUUGAAAAAAAAAAACCAAUAACGUCUGAGUCUGAAUAUAACCACAAGGAAAAAAAUGGAAACUUAUCUGCAAUGUGCACCCCCUCCCAACCAAAUUAAUACCCUGGACCAGAGCCUUGUCCAGAAGCAGUGUAAAUAUCUCAGCAACUCAUUACCUUGUUAAUUGGAUCACUCCAAGCUUUUUGGAACCAGUCUAAA